CAAAAAUUAGCGCCAAGAAAAUAGAAAGAGAAGAUAGCCACAAGUUAUAGGUUUCCAUUCCUGCCCAUGCCCUCUUGAACACUGGCAUUAAUAUUUGCAGUGUUACAAUAAAGUCGGACAGGCACAGGAUCUCUUUCCGGUUAGCUUACACAACUUUAGCCUCGGUAGAUUUUCAACAUAUUUGGGUAAUACGUUUUAAUUGAUCUCAGAACCAUCUAUGACAGACCCACAGCCAACAUCAUACUGAAUGGGGAAAAGCUGGAAGCAUUCUUCUUGAAAACCAGUACAAGACAAGGAUGCCAUCUCUCACCACUCCUAUUUAACAUAGUAUUAGAAGUCUUGGCCAGAACAAUUAGGCAAGAGAAAGAAAGAAAGGAUGUCCAGAUAGUAAGAGAGGAAGUCAAACUAUCCCUGUUUGCAGAUGACAUGAUUCUAUAUCUAGAAAACACCAUAGUCUGAGCCCAAAAGCUUCUUAAGCUGAUAAACAACUUCAGCAAGUCUCAGAAUACAAAAAUUGCUAGCAUUCCUAUACAGCAACAACAACCAAGCCGAGAGCCAAAUCAGGAAUUCAAUCUCAUUCACAAUUGCCCAAAAAGAAUAAAAUAUUUAGGAAUACAGCUAACCAGGAGGGUGAAGUAUCUCUACAAUGAGAACUGUAAAACACUGCUUAAGGAAAUCAGAGAUGACACAAACAAAUUUUAAAAAAAUUCUUUGCUCCUGGAUAGAAAGAUAUCCUAUACAUAUCAUUAAAAUGGUCAUACUACCUAAAGCAGUUUAUAGACUCAAUGCUAUUCCUAUCAAACUACCAAUGAUAUUCUUCAUAGUACCAGAAAAAAAAAAAACUAUUUUAAAAUUCAUAUAGAAUAAAAAAAGAGCCCAAAUAGCCAAGACAAUCUUAAGAAAAAAGAACAAAACUGGCGGCAUCUUGUUACCCAACUUCAAACUAUAUCACAGGGCUACACUAACUAAAACAGCAUGGUACUAGGACAAAAACAGACACAUAGACAAAUGGAACAGAAUAGAGGCCUAGAAAUAAGUCCACACACCUACAACCAUCUGAUCUUCCACAAAGCUGACAAAUACAAGAAACGGGGAAAAGACUCCCUAUUCAAUAAGCAGUGUUGGGUUAACUGGCUAGCUACAUGCAGAAGAUUACAACUGAAGCCAUUUCUUACACCAUGUACAAAAAUCAACACAAGAUGGAUUUAAUACUUAAAUGUAAAACCCAAAACUAUAAAAAUGCUAGAAGACAACCUAUGUAGUAUCAUUCAGGACACAGAAACAGGCAAAGAGUUAUGACAAAGACACCAAAGAGCAAUUGCAAAAAAAAAGCAAAAAAUUGACAAAUGGGAUCUAAUUAAACUUAAGAGCUUCUGCACAGCAAAUGAAACUAUCAACAGAGUAAACAGACAACGUACUGUAUGGGAGAAAAUAUUUGCAGCUAUGCAUCUGACAAAGUUCUAAUAUAGCAUCUAUAAGGAACUUAAAUUUACAAAUAACAAAAGAAAACACAUUAAAAAGUGGGCAGAGGAAAUGAACAGACACUUCUGUAAAGAAGACAUACAUCGGCCAAAAAUCAUAUGAAAAGAAGCUGAAUAUCACUUAUUAUUAGAGAAAUGCAAAUCAAAACCACAAUGAGAUACCAUCUCACACCUGUCAGAAUGGCUAAUAGUAAAAAUUCAAAAAAUAACAUAUGCUGGCAAGUGGCAAUGUUGUGGAGAAAAGAGAACAAGUAUACACUGUUGGUGGGCGUGUAAAUUAGGUCAUCCAUUGUGGAAGACAGUGUGGCGAUUCCUCAAAGUGCUAAAAACAGAACUACCAUUCAACCCAGCCAUCUUAUUACUGGGUUUAUACCCAGAGGAAUAUAAAUCAUUUCACCAUAAAGACACAUGUAUAUGUAUGUUCACUGCAGCACUGUUCACAAUAGCAAACACAUAGAAUCAAUCUCAAUGCCCAUCAGUGACAGAUUGGAUGAAGAAAAUGUGAUACAUUUGCACCAUGGUAUACUAUGCAGCCAUAAAAAAUGAGAUUGUGUCUUUUCUGGGAACAUGGAUGGAAUUGGAGGCCCUUAUUUUUAGCAAACUAAUACAGAAACAGAAAACAAAUAGUGCAUGUUCUCACUUAUGAGUGGAAGCUAAAUCAUGACAGCUCAUGAACACAAAGAAGGGAACAACAGAUACUGGGGCCUCCUUGAGGGUGGAGGUGGGAGGAGGGAGAGGAACAGGAAAAAUAGCUAUUGAGUACUAAGCUUAGUACCUGGGUGACGAAAUAAUCUGUACAUCAAGCCUCCUUGACAUGAGUUUACCUACAUACAACAAACCUGGACAUGUACCCCCAAAUCUAAAAUAAGAGUUAAAAAAUAUAAAAACUAAAAUGAAAAAAUGAUCUUAUUUAAACAUACGUUUUAACGUAUAUGGAAAAUUUAUUUUGGGUGCUCCAUGUGGCAGCUCAAAGGUAGAGGCAGUCAUCCUACUCAAUUGCUAAAAAAUGAUUUACAGGAAAAGACUUGUGUCAGAUGACCAGGAAAUUUACCCAUAUGUAUUAACAUUUUGUGAACAGAGAAAAUCAACAUGGGUUUUGUAACAUGAACCCCAAAUCAAAAGAUACAAGGGCAAAUUCCUCUAGAUUUCAGAUAUUGAUGAAUUUUUAUAGUUGUUUCUCAAAUAGGCAACUUUACUACAGCAAUUUCCAAGUUUCCUAGUAAUAGGGAAUUAUAUAUUUAUCUGUGGUUGAUUAUUCCCUAUAGGCAAUCCUAGAGGAUGGUUUCUAGCUACUUUGUUAAAGAGAGA
rnacentral:lncRNA from 1 species